ACAGAUACCCACUCCACCAUUUCCACUUCUUCCACACACACACACUCUCUCUCUCUCUAUAUGUUUCUGUCACUGCUCUGCCAUCUCUCUCUUUCCUGGAUACCGUAUCUUCUCUGGCCUCCCUUCCUUCACCUUGUCUCACUCUAACUAUUUCCGUACACGCUUUCCUCUCCGGCUAAAUGCCGGCCGCCGCCGCCAGCCUCAACCCCACUUCAAUCUCUUCCUAAAUGAACUAAUCCUUCUAACGUCAAGAUGCUUCCAACUCCACCACGGCGCGCCAAACCCUCACCCUCCUUAUAAAGUGGCCGGAAUUCGGUAAAAAAGCCUGCUUCAAGAUGUCUAAUGCUUCAACCUCAACCGAAGACGCGGCGGCGAAGGCGGCGAGCAAGCGCUAUGAAGGUCUGGUGGCGGUCCGUAGCAAGGCGGUGCAAGGGAAAGGAGCUUGGUACUGGGCUCAUCUCGAGCCAAUUUUGAUCAGGGAAAAUGAAACGAAAUCGCCCAAAGCCGUGAAGCUGAAAUGCACUCUCUGCGAUGCCGCCUUCUCUGCAUCAAACCCAUCAAGAACUGCUACUGAACACCUCAAGAAAGGGACUUGUCCUAAUUUCAGCUCAAUGUUGAAUCCCCUCACGCAGCUUCCGCCUUUGGCGUCGCCUUCUUCGCGAAAGAAUAAUCGCAAGCGAUGUUUGCAGUCUCAGCAAUCUAAUGAUGCUUCUUUAGAUGUAUGCCCGCUUAACAUGGUUGAUCCCUCUCGUUUCCUAAGCAACGAGGUAAGCUUUCUGCCUGCUCAGGCUCCGCCGCCUCUGUGUCUGAAGCCGCUCCUCUUGUCUGGUGGGAGAGAGGAUUACGGGCCGUUGGCGCGGCUCGAGAGUAGCGUGAAGAAGCUCAAGAGCCCCAGCGGUUCGCCUAUUUCGGCCUUGAGCAAGAAUCAAGUCAAGAAAGCGUUUGAUGUUUUGGCAGACUGGUUUUACGAGUCAUGUGGGGUGGUGUCCUUGUCAAGUCUUGAACAUCCCAAGUUCAGGGCUUUUCUCAACCAGGUGGGGUUUCCUGCAUCCUUGAAAAUGGAGUUCCUGAGCUCGAGGCUCGAAUCCAAGUUUGAAGGAGCUAGGAUGGAGUCUGAAGCUAGGAUUUCAGAUGCAGCAUUCUUUCAGGUUGCUUGUGAUGGGUGGAAGGCUAGAAGCUGUGGUGUUGGGAGUCAGCGUUUGGUUAAGUUCACGGUCAACCUUCCCAACAGGACGACGGUGUUCCAAAAGGCGAUGUGUGUUGAUGGUGCUGCCGUGCCAUCACAGUAUGCGGAGGAAGUUUUGUGGGAGACUAUCCAAGGGAUAUGUGGUGACAAUGUGCAGAGAUGUGCUGGGAUCAUUUCAGAUAAGUAUAAAGCUAAAGCACUGAGAAAUUUAGAACUCCAGAAUCAUUGGAUGAUCAAUCUAUCUUGUCAGGUUCAAGGAUUCUUUAGUUUAAUAAAGGACUUGUAUAGAGAACUUCCAUUGUUUAAGACUGUAAGUGAUAAUUGUAUAAAAAUUGCUAGCUUGAUCAAUUCCACCCCACAUAUUAGGAAUAGUUUCCACAAGUUUAGGCUGCAAGGGCUUGACAUUGCCGGGUUUGUUAGAGUACCUCCUCCUAAAUGUGAUAUAGCUAAGAUUUGGUCUCCUUUUAUUGCAAUGUUGGAUGAUUUAUUGAGCUGCUCCAGAAUUCUAAACCUAAUUGUAUCCGAUGAUUCAUGUAAAGUUGGCUUAUUGGAUGUUUCUGGUGGGGAGGUUGCAGAACUGAUUCAGGAUGUUGGAUUCUGGAGACAUGUUGAGGCUUCCCAUUCACUAGUAAAAACGAUCGUGGCGAUGGCUGAAGAUAUUGAGGCUGAGAGGCCAUCAGUUGGGCAGUGUCUCCCUCUUUGGGAGGAACUGAGGACUAAAAUAAAGGACUGGUGCAGUAAGUAUGGCAUUGCUGAAGGACCGGUAGAAAAGAUACUUGAAAGGCGAUUCAGGAAGGUGUAUCAUCCUGCAUGGUCAGCUGCAUUUAUUCUUGAUCCUCUGUAUUUGGUCAGAGAUGCUAGUGGGAAGUACCUUCCGCCUUUUAAGUGCUUGACACACGAACAAGAGAAGGACGUUGACAAGCUUGUGACGCGGCUGGUUUCAAGGGAUGAAGCACAUAUUGCUUUAAUGGAACUAAUGAAGUGGAGAUCAGAAGGCCUGGACCCGCUGUAUGCUCAGGCAGUUCAGGUAAGACAGCAAGAUCCCGUGACGGGGAAACUGAAAAUUGCCAAUCCCCAGGGCAGUAGGCUUGUGUGGGAGACUUGCCUCAAAGACCUCAAGAUAUUGGGUAAAGUUGCAGUCAGGCUUCUUUUCCUUCAUGCUACCUCAUGUGGAAUCAAACAUGAUUCGUCAUUCACAAGAUGGUUUUGUGGACAAGGAAAUUCAAGUUCGGGUUUGGAGAGGGCUCAGAAGCUAGUUUUUGUCGCAGCUCAUGCAAAGCUUGAGAGACAGGACUACUCCAGUGCUGAAGAAAAGGAUGCAGAACUUUUUGGCUCCAUAUAUGCAAGAAAUCUGCUGGAAAUCAGAACUGCUGAAUUUGUUAGCACUGCAGUAGUCAGUUGGAAUUGUUUUAUAUGGAUGAUGAAAAUCGAAAGAUUCUUAUGCUGGAAUAUACAAGCCACACUUAUGAAACUGCAAGUUUUUCUUGGGGGUAUGCAAAGUGUCUGUCUCUUUCUCUGAUAGUCGUUAUUUCUGGAUUUUGAUCUGCGAGUGUCUGUCAGUGGUAAUCACUCGGGCCGACCUUGUUAAAAAUCAAGAAACAGAGUUCUACUUGCGAAGAAGCAUUUUUACUCUUGUCUGUGUCAACUCAGAGCCCCACCAACCAAGGAUGGUGGAAGUCUAUCACAAAACUUUAGCUUUCAGCUAUCUUGCUGAAAGAGAAGUUUGCAGCUACUCUCUUCUUUGUGGCCGAGGUGCACGUUUGAGUUAAUAAUUACUUGUCUACGAUUGUUAAACAAGUCUGUUGAAGCAAAAUCACUCCUUUUGACAUUGCUGCGUGUUUGUAGACGAGUUUGGUAAUGCCAGAAGCCCAUCUACACAUGCAGAGGGUGGUUCUCGGAGAGUCGAGCUAUGCAGGCAUCACGGCACCUGUCAAGUAAAAGGUUGCAAUCAAGUAAAGUAAGUGUAUGAUUAUUCCAUUAAAGAGUUUUGAUGAUGAAUAACACAGUACAAAGGGAUGGUAGAAAAAGUUGGAAAAUUUGUGGAAUGUAUGGCAGCAACACCUCAUAUGGGGUCAUAAUAGCUACACUUUUUUCAAAUUUUCUUCUUGUGUUGGUGCUCAGUCACUC